rnacentral:lncRNA from 1 species
CAGAAGCUUGCUUACUGCACUGACUCGAUAGUAGAAGCAUAUUUAUCUGCUUACUGUGAAGCAAUCGGCGUUGGGUUAUGGUUUAUGAGUGGUUAGACAGAUUCUUCUCCGGCAACGAUGGCACGCUCCCACCCUUCUUUGCCAACCUGGAAAAGUUAGACUUGAUGACCUUUUGGAGAGCAACAAUCAGGUGACUGUGAGUAGCAAGAAACAACAUUAUCUUCUCG